AAUGGAAAGACACAAACACAGGCCACGCAAGCCUAUUAACGAAAGAAAAGGCAAACCAUCCACAAUUAGAGUGGUUAUGCGACAAAACGGGAAAACAACACCUGAUGGACAAGAAAUACAAAAUCAUCAUAGAUGACGCGGAAACAAGACCGAAUGUGAACACAGUAGAAGUGUACACAGAUGGAUCAAAAACAAAUUUAGGAACAGGUACUGGAGUCUACUGCCCAGAAUUCAACAUAAACAUCACACAAGCAUUGGGUAAGAACAACUCCGUUUUCCAGGCGGAGUGCGUUGGAAUCACAAUUGCGGCCAUAGCAAUGAACGCAAGAAAGGUAACAAACUUUAACAUUAACAUUUGCAGUGACAGUCAGGCAGUACUAAAAGCUCUAAAAAAGCACACGACCUCUUCAAAACUUAUCUCAGACUGUCAUUUAGCACUAACCAACUUAACAAAAACAAACAACGUUACACUAAAAUGGGUGAAGGGUCACAACGGCAACACAGGUAAUGACAGGGCAGACGAACUGGCACGCAAAGGCACAACACUGAAGGUUGCUGGUCCACUUCCAAUGGUACCAAUACCCUACAGUGAGUACAAAACAUGGCUCCGCAAGGAGACACGAAUGUCACACGAUCAGUCAUGGGCAGACACUAAUGAAUGCAAACACACAAAACAGGUUCUUCCAAGACUCGACUCACGUUUGACCACAAAACUACUUAAACUAAACCGUAGCAAACUUAAAACUGUUACUGAACUAAUGACAGGACACUGUUCACUAAACAAACACCUUUCGGUUCUAGGUAUAACCGACAGCCCUCUUUGCAGAGCAUGCAUGGAGGAAGAGGAAACCCCGAUACAUGUUAUGCUUAGAUGCAGAGGUGUAUCUGAACAACGCGCAGCACACAUUGGAUCCCCAGCAACACUCCAUGAGGCGUUCGGCGACCUGGGCGGCCUGCUAAGCUUCUGGAGCGAGCUCGGUUGGCUGGAGUGACUCCGGCGGGGACCAGCACCGAAGGGACCUACGUACAACGGCCAAACCUUAGUGGCCAAGUGCGGAUAAGGCCCAGGAAGAAAAGAAGAAGAAGAAGAAGAAGAUGGGGACUAAAACCGCACAUAAUGAAGUGGCUAUACCUUACAGUUGUAAGAAGCUCAAUGACAUAUGCAUCUAUAGUCUGGUGGCCAAAAGUGAUCCAAACGACAACUCAACAGGAACUUCAAAAAUUCCAAAGACAAGCACUGCUAUCCAUAACGGGCAGUAUGUGCACAACACCGACAGCUGCAAUGGAGGUAAUACUAGGAAUUCCUCCAUUACAUCUCCAUAUAAAAGAGGAAGCAACGCUUACAGCUCUCAGACUAAAAACAUGCGGACUGUGGAAACACACAAACACAGCCCACACCAACAUCUUAAAAGAGGGAAUACAAAUAAACCCAUGUAUGGAGUGGAUAUGUGAUAAAACACAAAAACAAUUCGUGAUGGACAAAACAUACAAAAUCAAUACAGAAGAAGCUAGUAACUGCUACACAAACCCUGACACCCUAGAUGUGUACACGGAUGGGUCAAAGACAGACACAGGUACUGGAGCAGGAGUCUACUGCCAAGACCUCAAUAUACGGAUUGCACAAGCGCUUGGUAUGACAGACAGUCCUCUGUGCAGAGCCUGCAUGGAGGAGGACGAGACACCGCUACACGUUAUGCUCAGUUGCAGAGGCGUAACGGAACAACGAGCAACCUACAUUGGCUCCUCAGCGACACUCCAUGAGGCUAUCGGCGACCUGGGCGGCCUGCUAAGCUUCUGGAGCGAGCUCGGCUGGAUGGAAUAAAUCCAGCGGGAACCUACACCGGAGGGACCCACGCACAACGGCCAAUCAAAUGGCUAAGUGCGGAAACGGCCCAGAAUAAAGAAGAAGAAGAAGAAGAAGAAGAUCCCCAAGACUGUGAUGGACCUGCCAACGCAUAACUUUAAGCAAUGUGUUAAAAAACAUUUACUUAGUCGAGGUUACUACACCAUCAAUGAGUUCCUUAAUGACAAAGUUGCUUGGAGGCCGUUGGAUCAGCUUCCACCUUCACACAGGAAGUAAAACUAUAAGAAAUUGUAAUGUUGUCAUAAAUUAUAAUUAUAAUAUUAUUGUAUGAUUUUUUUUUUAAAAAGAGCAACUGUUGAGUUUCUUGCCGGUUUGUUCUCAGCAGAAUCUGCCUUCGGAACCGGUGGUAGAAUCUUUACAAAUAGUUAACUGACAUAUCAAAAGUGCUUGUAUACUGAGCCUACUUGAAAUAAAUGAAUUUUUGAUUUUGAUUUUUGAGCCUAUCAAACUUAGUUAUAUGUAUUUUCUGGAUACUUCAAUAAAUAAAACC